CUACGGGCGGCUCCAGUGAGGAAUAUUGCACAAUGGGGGGAGCCCUGAUGCCGCAACGCCGCGUGGAGGAUGACGCAUUUCGGUGUGUAAACUCCUUUUAUAUGUCAAGAAAAUGACGGUAGCAUAUGAAUAAGCACCGGCUAACUCCGUGCCAGCAGCCGCGGUAAUACGGAGGGUGCAAGCGUUACUCGGAAUCACUGGGCGUAAAGGACGCGUAGGCGGGUUGGAAAGUCAGGUGUGAAAUCCUACAGCUUAACUGUAGAACUGCACUUGAAACUUCUAAUCUAGAGUAUGGGAGGGGGAGAUGGAAUUAGUGGUGUAGGGGUAAAAUCCGUAGAUAUCACUAGGAAUACCUAAAGCGAAGGCGAUCUCCUGGAACAUUACUGACGCUAAGGCGUGAAAGCGUGGGGUGCAAACAGGAUUAGAUACCCGCGUAGUC
rnacentral:rRNA from 1 species